UGCCCUAGUAACGGCGAGUGAAGCGGCAACAGCUCAAAUUUGAAAUCUGGCUCUCGGGCCCGAGUUGUAAUUUGUAGAGGAUGCUUUUGAUGCGGUGCCUUCCGAGUUCCCUGGAACGGGACGCCAUAGAGGGUGAGAGCCCCGUCUGGUUGGAUGCCAAAUCUCUGUAAAGCUCCUUCGACGAGUCGAGUAGUUUGGGAAUGCUGCUCUAAAUGGGAGGUAUAUGUCUUCUAAAGCUAAAUACCGGCCAGAGACCGAUAGCGCACAAGUAGAGUGAUCGAAAGAUGAAAAGCACUUUGAAAAGAGAGUUAAAAAGUACGUGAAAUUGUUGAAAGGGAAGCGUUUAUGACCAGACUUGGGCUUGGUUAAUCAUCUGGGGUUCUCCCCAGUGCACUUUUCCAGUCCAGGCCAGCAUCAGUUUUCGCCGGGGGAUAAAGGCUUCGGGAAUGUGGCUCUCUCCGGGGAGUGUUAUAGCCCGUUGCGUAAUACCCUGGCGGGGACUGAGGUUCGCGCAUCUGCAAGGAUGCUGGCGUAAUGGUCAUCAACGACCCGUCUUGAAACACGGACCAAGGAGUCGUCUUCGUAUGCGAGUGUUCGGGUGUCAAACCCCUACGCGUAAUGAAAGUGAACGCAGGUGAGAGCUUCGGCGCAUCAUCGACCGAUCCUGAUGUUCUCGGAUGGAUUUGAGUAAGAGCAUACGGGGCCGGACCCGAAAGAAGGUGAACUAUGCCUGUGUAGGGUGAAGCCAGAGGAAACUCUGGUGGAGGCUCGCAGCGGUUCUGACGUGCAAAUCGAUCGUCAAACAUGGGCAUGGGGGCGAAAGACUAAUCGAACCUUCUAGUAGCUGGUUUCCGCCGAAGUUUCCCUCAGGAUAGCAGUGUUGAACUCAGUUUUAUGAGGUAAAGCGAAUGAUUAGGGACUCGGGGGCGCUAUUUAGCCUUCAUCCAUUCUCAAACUUUAAAUAUGUAAGAAGCUCUUGUUGCUUAAUUGAACGUGAGCAUUCGAAUGUAUCAACACUAGUGGGCCAUUUUUGGUAAGCAGAACUGGCGAUGCGGGAUGAACCGAACGCGAGGUUAAGGUGCCAGAGUAGACGCUCAUCAGACACCACAAAAGGUGUUAGUACAUCUUGACAGCAGGACGGUGGCCAUGGAAGUCGGAAUCCGCUAAGGACUGUGUAACAACUCACCUGCCGAAUGUACUAGCCCUGAAAAUGGAUGGCGCUCAAGCGUCUCACCCAUACCUCGCCCUCAGGGUAGAAACGAAGCCCUGAGGAGUAGGCGGACGUGGAGGUCAGUGACGAAGCCUAGGGC
rnacentral:rRNA from 1 species